CAAGUGUCUAGCAGCUUCACUACC
rnacentral:siRNA from 1 species